rnacentral:rRNA from 1 species
CGUCAAGUCAUCAUGGCCCUUACGGCCUGGGCUACACACGUGCUACAAUGGUCGGUACAAAGGGUUGCCAAGCCGCGAGGUGGAGCUAAUCCCAUAAAACCGAUCGUAGUCCGGAUCGCAGUCUGCAACUCGACUGCGUGAAGUCGGAAUCGCUAGUAAUCGUGAAUCAGAAUGUCACGGUGAAUACGUUCCCGGGCCUUGUACACACCGCCCGUCACACCAUGGGAGUGGGUUGCUCCAGAAGUAGCUAGUCUAACCUUCGGGGGGA